UACGUAGGGUGCGAGCGUUGAUCGGAAUUACUGGGCGUAAAGGGCGCGCAGGCGGCUCAGCAUGUCGGGCGUGAAAUCCCCGGGCUUAACCUGGGAAUUGCGUCCGAAACUAUGGAGCUGGAGUGUGGCAGAGGGAGGUGGAAUUCCACGUGUAGCGGUGAAAUGCGUAGAGAUGUGGAGGAACACCGAUGGCGAAGGCAGCCUCCUGGGCCAACACUGACGCUCAUGCACGAAAGCGUGGGGAGCAAACAGG
rnacentral:rRNA from 1 species